GCACACUCCAGCCCCUCCUGGAAGAACCUACCUUUUUCCAGAAAUCCUCAACCCAGUCUCCACCUACCUGCCCUAAGUUCCCUUGAGACUCCCUUUUUACCAGGCCCCUCCCCCUGGGAGAAGGUGCUUUGAGCAUGAGCUCCCCUUCCUCCAUUCCUAUGAUGUAAGGUUUUCUUCUUGGUCACUUUGCAAGCUGGGGACCUCUGGCCAGCAAUGCCCUGCCAGGUCUCACUCGCCAGGCUACCUGCUGCAGGAGAUGGCCUUUACUUGCUGCAGGAGACGACCCACCCGCUCAGUCCAGUUGGCGGAGUCUAGCUUAUGCACUGGUUCCCGAGUUCUCGUCCCACGAGCCCAAGAAGAAUGAGGAUGCACUGGCAAUUGAAGAGUGAGCAAGGAGAUUUUACCCAGUGAGAACAUGUUUAGGACACUUUUCUACAGUGGAAGAAAAGCUUCUGUCUGCAGGUCCAAAGGCACCGUCCUGAGUUGGAAAAAGAUGAAUCAGACCCAGUCCCUCCCUGGAGUUGCUCAGAGGUCUGGAGGAGAAAGGCAUAGAGGUACGAUGUCUUCGUAUGCUCACCGUGCCCCAAAUUCGGUUUUCACUUGCAUCCGAGGGUACUGUCUGAGAGAAGGGCAAAAGCCAACAAGAAAAAAAAAAAAGCCUUCCCCAGCACUGGAGAUCUGGCCUCUUCACUUACAUGCUGUCUACAAAUGCACCAUUAUUCUUUCCCUAUCAAAUCGACUCCUUUAAUCUUUUCUACAGCCCUUUCAUCAUCCUUGUUGCUUGUCUCAACCACUUUUAAGUCUGCCAACAUCUUUCUGAUCCUUAAGUAAACAGGACAAAUCACUCUGCUGGGAGGCAUGAACUCUCUGCCCUACCUUGGCCUUCUGGAAGUAACGCUGAUUGAACAACAGACAUGCAGUGGGAGGCUGAGCUCCGUUUCUCAUGCCUGUGUGGAGAGCAACUGCGGAAGGUAAUUGUAAGAUUAUUGCAUCUGAAUCAGAACCACAGGAGCAUGCAGCCUUGGCUCACCUGGGCAGUCCUGAGAGUCUGCAGGGACAGCUGCUGGGCUUUUGGGGACUCGCAGGGCAGCAAAGCUAUUAGACCUUUAUACACUUGAUUUUGGUACUUGGGAUUGCCGUGGACCAAAGAAUCCAACAGAACCUGCACUUCCUCCUGGGUCUCUUCUGACUUAGACUUUGCCAAAAAUUCUGCUAUGGAUCGUACACCUGAGCAAAGAAGAGAGGAAAUGCUAAAUUGGAAGGGAUUUAUGAAAAAAUC
rnacentral:lncRNA from 1 species